GACAGAGGCCUCAAGCGUUAGGCGGAAUCACUGGGCUUAAAGCGUGUGUAGGUGGAUUCUUAAGUGCCUUGUGAAAUCCCACGGCUCAACCGUGGAACUGCUUGGCAUACUGGGAGUCUUGAGCCAUCUAGGGGCAACUGGAACAGACGGUGGAGCGGUGAAAUGCGUAGAUAUCGUCUGGAACGCCAACGGUGAAGACAGGUUGCUGGGGAUGUGCUGACACUGAGACACGAAAGCCAGGGGAGCAAACGGG
rnacentral:rRNA from 1 species